CCUACGGGAGGCAGCAGUGAGGAAUAUUGCACAAUGGGGGAAACCCUGAUGCAGCGACGCCGCGUGAGUGAAGAAGUAUUUCGGUAUGUAAAGCUCUAUCAGCAGGGAAGAAAAUGACGGUACCUGAUUAAGAAGCCCCGGCUAACUACGUGCCAGCAGCCGCGGUAAUACGUAGGGGGCAAGCGUUAUCCGGAUUUACUGGGUGUAAGGGGAGCGUAGACGGCAGCACAAGUCUGGAGUGAAAUGCCGGGGCUUAACCCCGGAACUGCUUUGGAAACUGUGCAGCUAGAGUGCAGGAGAGGUAAGUGGAAUUCCUAGUGUAGCGGUGAAAUGCGUAGAUAUUAGGAGGAACACCAGUGGCGAAGGCGGCUUACUGGACUGUAACUGACGUUGAGGCUCGAAAGCGUGGGGAGCAAACAGGAUUAGAUACCCCAGUAGUC
rnacentral:rRNA from 1 species